ACGUACACUCCUACGGGAGGCAGCAGUGGGGAAUUUUGGACAAUGGGCGAAAGCCUGAUCCAGCCAUGCCGCGUGCAGGAUGAAGGCCUUCGGGUUGUAAACUGCUUUUGUACGGAACGAAACGGCCUUUUCUAAUAAAGAGGGCUAAUGACGGUACCGUAAGAAUAAGCACCGGCUAACUACGUGCCAGCAGCCGCGGUAAUACGUAGGGUGCAAGCGUUAAUCGGAAUUACUGGGCGUAAAGCGUGCGCAGGCGGUUAUGUAAUACAGUUGUGAAAUCCCCGGGCUCAACCUGGGAACUGCAUCUGUGACUGCAUAGCUAGAGUACGGUAGAGGGGGAUGGAAUUCCGCGUGUAGCAGUGAAAUGCGUAGAUAUGCGGAGGAACACCGAUGGCGAAGGCAAUCCCCUGGACCUGUACUGACGCUCAUGCACGAAAGCGUGGGGAGCAAACAGGAUUAGAUACCCCUGUAGUCCC
rnacentral:rRNA from 1 species